rnacentral:rRNA from 1 species
UACGUAGGGUGCAAGCGUUUGUCCGGAAUUAUUGGGCGUAAAGAGCUCGUAGGCGGUCUGUCGCGUCUGCUGUGAAAUCUCCGGGCUUAACCCGGAGCGGUCAAGUGAUACUGUCGUGCUAGAGUGCGGAAGGGGCUACUGGAAUUCUCGGUGUAGCGGUGAAAUGCGUAGAUAUCGAGAGGAACACCUGCGGCGAAGGCGGGUAGCUGGGCCGACACUGACGUGAUGCGCGAAAGCCCAGGGGAGCGAACGGG